rnacentral:lncRNA from 1 species
AAUCAUUUCACCUUUGCACACUUGUAUAAACAUAAAGCUCUCAAUUCAAUUUCAAGUCACACCUUAAAAUCUUACACACUCAUAAUUAAAUCACUUGUACUAAAUUGAUGGCUUUCAUUUCAUCCUUCUUCAACUGUUUUGGCAUCUCUUCAAACUCAUCAUUACAAGUUUUUGAUUAUGAUAAAAAAUUAUCUCAAUCGAAAUCUUCAUCAUCAUCGGAGAAAUCAAAGAGCAAGGAAAACUUAAAGGGAGCUCCUUUGGUGGUUUAUCAUUUUCCUGUUAACUCUAAUCUCUCACUUUUGUAGUCAUGUCUUGUUAAGAAAUUUAUUUAUUUAUUUUGGUACUUGAUAUUCUUUUAUUUAUUUCUUCAUUGGUGGUUUAUCAUUUUCCUGUUAACUCUAAUCUCUCACUUUUGUAGUCAUGUCUUGUUAAGAAAUUUAUUUAUUUAUUUUGGUACUUGAUAUUCUUUUAUUUAUUUCUUCUUAUUUGUAUUAGAAAUUUUUAUAGGAUUUGUAUCAAUAAUUAAUAUUACUUUCUUGAUAUUACUUGAUGUGUUUUUAAUUUCACUUCAUUAAUAAUGUACUAUUACUAGAUUCUUUCUCCAAGAUACCUAAUCAAAAAAUUGUGUUAAAUAGAAAA